rnacentral:rRNA from 1 species
ACGCUAGCGGGAGGCCUAACACAUGCAAGCCGAGCGGUAUUUGACUUUCGGGACAGAGAGAGCGGCGUACGGGUGCGGAACACGUGUGCAACCUACCUUUAUCAGGGGGAUAGCCUUUCGAAAGGAAGAUUAAUACCCCAUAAUAUAUUGAUUGGCAUCAGUUAAUAUUGAAAACUCCGGUGGAUAGAGAUGGGCACGCGCAAGAUUAGAUAGUUGGUAGGGUAACGGCCUACCAAGUCAGUGAUCUUUAGGGGGCCUGAGAGGGUGAUCCCCCACACUGGUACUGAGACACGGACCAGACUCCUACGGGAGGCAGCAGUGAGGAAUAUUGGACAAUGGGUGAGAGCCUGAUCCAGCCAUCCCGCGUGAAGGACGACGGCCCUAUGGGUUGUAAACUUCUUUUGUAUAGGGAUAAACCUACUCUCGUGAGAGUAGCUGAGGGUACUAUACGAAUAAGCACCGGCUAACUCCGUGCCAGCAGCCGCGGUAAUACGGAGGGUGCAAGCGUUAUCCGGAUUUAUUGGGUUUAAAGGGUCCGUAGGCGGAUCUGUAAGUCAGUGGUGAAAUCUCAUAGCUUAACUAUGAAACUGCCAUUGAUACUGCAGGUCUUGAGUAAAGUAGAAGUGGCUGGAAUAAGUAGUGUAGCGGUGAAAUGCAUAGAUAUUACUUAGAACACCAAUUGCGAAGGCAGGUCACUAUGUUUUAACUGACGCUGAUGGACGAAAGCGUGGGGAGCAAAC